rnacentral:lncRNA from 1 species
AUUUGGCCUCUAUGUUCCAUAUAGACUUUAGGCAUUACACUUUCCUUGAUUGUUCCCUUGCCACUCCUACUCAUUCAUCUUUUUCAUCCGUACCUUGCCUUGGCAGUACAGUCCGUGCCUAUUAUUCAGAUUAUGCAUUGGAUGAUGUUGAUUUUGUGUCUUGUACAAAGAUGUAUGACAUUCCACUGCCUAAUUCCUGGCCUAAUACUCAAGAGUCUUGAGUUGAGCUGGUCCAAACCAGAUUGCAGCAAAUGCUACAAGUCAAAUAGGCAAUGUUGUGUAUUGAAGCAGGGGAGCCCUGAACCUGAAGCUGAAUGCUGGACUGGUUACAUCAACCAUAAUAAAGGUACGAGGAAUCAUUAGUUCAUCAUUAACUGCCCUUUGUAUAUUAUAAUUACUCAUUCCAUUAAUUACCUUUUUUUCUUGGCAGUGUCAUUACUAAAGAAGGGACUGAUAGCUGGAGUGGUAUUGAGUUCAGUUUUCAUAGUGGGACUCCUCAUUUCCCUCUACCUUGCAUAUAAGCAUGACCGUAAAGAAAGGGAAUACAGCGUAAAAAUCGACAAGUUCUUGGAUGAUUACAAGUCCCUUAAGCCUACAAGAUUCACCUAUGCUGAUAUCAAGAGGAUAACAAACCAGUUCAGUUGCGAACUGGGUCGAGGAGCUUAUGGAACAGUUUUCAAAGGCAAGCUGUCAACUGAAAUCCAAGUAGCCGUUAAGGUCCUUAACAGCAGCUCGAAAGGAAACGGAGAAGAGUUUGUGAACGAAGUGGGAACAAUGGCUAGAAUCCACCACGUCAAUGUGGUUAGAUUGAUUGGUUUCUGUGCAGAUGGGUUUAGGAGAGCUCUGGUCUAUGAGUACUUACAAAAUGACAAAUUGCACAAGUACAUCUCUUCCUCCUCGUCCAAACUUGACUGGAAGAAGCUCCAAGACGUUGCUCUUGGAAUAGCCAAAGGGAUUGAGUAUCUUCACCGAGGGUGCGAGAACAGAAUCCUGCAUUUCGACAUCAAGCCUCAUAACAUCCUCCUAGAUCAGAGCUUCAACCCCAAGGUCUCGGAUUUCGGGCUGGCCAAGCUGUGUGCCAAGGAUCUGAGUGCCAUAUCUAUGACAACAGCUAGGGGGACAAUUGGGUACAUUGCGCCAGAAGUUUUCUCGAGGAACUUCGGCAGCGUAUCGUACAAGGCUGACGUGUACAGUUUUGGAAUGUUGUUGCUGGAGAUGGUUGGAGGAAGGAAGAAUAUCGACGAGACAGCACCAGAUGGUGAUCACAUAUACUUCCCAGAGUGGAUUUAUAACCUAUUUGAUGAAUCUGGGGAAGAUGUGAGGGUUGAGAUUGAAGAACAGGAGGAAGAGGAAGAAAAAGAAGAAGACCAGAAGAUUGGUAAGAAGCUAGCAGCAGUGGGGCUGUGGUGUAUUCAGUGGAAACCAAGUGACCGGCCUACGAUAAAGCUAGUGGUUCAGAUGCUGGAAGGAGAAGGUGAUAGUUUAACACCACCUCCGAAUCCUCUUGCCUCGAGUAAUGGUGGUGGCUUAAGGAUGACAAGGCUGCAGGCUGGAGGUAGUCGUGUGCCAAGAAUGGUUGCAAAGACAGGGAUGGAAAUCAUUCCAGAAACAGAAUAAUGAUCACUCUACUCUCUGAAGUCGGCUUGGUCAAGUUGGAAUUAAAUAAGAUCGAUGAACAGAUAAACUCGGAGAGAUAAAGAAGCCACAACUUAGUUCCAGCUGGAAGCCGGAAGAGUGUUUCACCUAAUAUAAUAUUUAUGUAGUAGUGUAAUUCAGAUGGUUUUAAGAUGGGGAGCAUGGUGAACAAGAUUCCUUUCAGUUUCAACUGCUUUCAUUCAAUAACAUAGAUGACAAUGAGAAGGGGAUUAGUUAUUUACCAGGCUGGAAGAUCCUGGUGAGCAAGAUUUAAGGCAGUAUUCAGCAGAACACUAACUGGAGUUUGAUUAAUAUCCAUCCAUCAGCUGUCACAAAAUUGCACAAAACCAUCAAUGGAUGAAAAAGCAAGCAUCAACUCAAUCUACAAUCAGCCUACGACUGAGAGGAUGGAAAGCAUUGAAUACACAAUCACUAGCAUGGAAAUUUCAGCAUAUACAAGUACUAGUAAAUCAAUGUAAAUAUGUAAUACUACUAGCAUUAUUUCUUUACCAUUCAUACAAACAAGGGCCUCUUGAAUGCCUCUUCACUUGGUUAUAUACGCAUAAUAGCAAACUUGAAUUGACAUCUCUGAAACCAAAAUGGUUCAAUCUCUCCGACUCCUCUUACUUCGCUUUCUGUCUCGCCUUCCAUUCUUUUUCUUAUGCUUCGUACGUCUAUCUUCUUCAGAUGAGCUGCUAUCUGCUGGUUUCUGCUGUUGCAUAAUCAGCCGUGGCAUGAUCUUCUUCAAAUACUCACGCAGGUUCUCAGUGAAGGAGUUGAUGGAGAAACCUCGUGUUCUUCGGAUGAUCUCAUGUGUGUUUUGCUCUUCUCGCUCCACAAGAUCCAAUUCUGGAAUUUUUCGUCUCAUGCUGCG